GGUCCAGUAGUGUAGCGGUCCAUCACAUCGGAUUCUGAUAAAUUCUCACGGUCUUGGAAAUUUCCGGUAACCCAGGUUCGAUUCCUGGCUGGACCU
rfam:Gloeophyllum trabeum ATCC 11539 unplaced genomic scaffold GLOTRscaffold_00001, whole genome shotgun sequence.